rnacentral:rRNA from 1 species
CCAAUAGCGUAUAUUAAAGUUGUUGCAGUUAAAAAGCUCGUAGUUGAAUUUCGGGAUCAACAUGUCGGUCGUGCCUCUGGUACGUACUGGUAUCGUUGAUUUCUACCUUCUGACGAACCAUGAUGUCAUUAAUUUGGUGUCAUGGGGAAUCAGGACUGUUACUUUGAAAACAUUAGAGUGUUUAAAGCAGGCACACGCUUGAAUACAUUAGCAUGGAAUAAUGAAAUAGGACGUUUGACCCUAUUUUGUUGGUUUCUAGGAUCGACGUAAUGAUUAAUAGGGAUAGUUGGGGGCAUUAGUAUUCAAUUGUCAGAGGUGAAAUUCUUGGAUUUAUUGAAGACUAACUACUGUGAAAGCAUUUGCCAAGGAUGUUUUCAUUAAUCAAGAACGAAAGUUAGGGGAUCGAAGACGAUCAGAUACCGUCGUAGUCUUAACCAUAAACUAUGCCGACUAGGGAUCGGAUGAUGUUAAUUUUUUAAUGACUCAUUCGGCGCCUUACG